rnacentral:rRNA from 1 species
AGUGAACGCUGGCGGUAGGCCUAACACAUGCAAGUCGAACGGCAGCACAGUAAGAGCUUGCUCUUACGGGUGGCGAGUGGCGGACGGGUGAGGCAUACAUCGGAAUCUACUUUUUCGUGGGGGAUAACGUAGGGAAACUUACGCUAAUACCGCAUACGACCUACGGGUGAAAGCAGGGGAUCUUCGGACCUUGCGCGAUUGAAUGAGCCGAUGUCGGAUUAGCUAGUUGGCGGGGUAAAGGCCCACCAAGGCGACGAUCCGUAGCUGGUCUGAGAGGAUGAUCAGCCACACUGGAACUUAGACACGGUCCAGACUCCUACGGGAGGCAGCAGUGGGGAAGAUUGUACAAUGGGCGCAAUCCUGAUCCAGCCAUACCGCGUGGGUGAAGAAGGCCUUCGGGUUGUAAAGCCCUUUUGUUGGGAAAGAAAAGCAGCAGGUUAAUACCCCGCUGUUCUGACGGUACCCAAAGAAUAAGCACCGGCUAACUUCGUG